rnacentral:rRNA from 1 species
UACGUAGGGUGCAAGCGUUGUCCGGAAUUAUUGGGCGUAAAGAGCUCGUAGGCGGUCUGUCGCGUCGGAUGUGAAAACCCAGGGCUCAACCCUGGGCCUGCAGCCGAUACGGGGCAGGCUAGAGUUCGGUAGGGGGAGACUGGAAUUCCUGGUGUAGCGGUGAAAUGCGUAGAGAUCCGGAAGAACACCGGUGGCGAAGGCGGUCUGCUGGGCAGUUGCUGGACACUGAGGCGCGACAGCGUGGGGAGCAAAC